AGUGAACGCUGGCGGUAGGCCUAACACAUGCAAGUCGAACGGCAGCACAGUAAGAGCUUGCUCUUACGGGUGGCGAGUGGCGGACGGGUGAGGAAUACAUCGGAAUCUACUUUUUCGUGGGGGAUAACGUAGGGAAACUUACGCUAAUACCGCAUACGACCUACGGGUGAAAGCAGGGGAUCUUCGGACCUUGCGCGAUUGAAUGAGCCGAUGUCGGAUUAGCUAGCUGGCGGGGUAAAGGCCCACCAAGGCGGCGAUCCGUAGCUGGUCUGAGAGGAUGAUCAGCCACACUGGAACUGAGACACGGUCCAGACUCCUACGGGAGGCAGCAGUGGGGAAUAUUGGACAAUGGGCGCAAGCCUGAUCCAGCCAUACCGCGUGGGUGAAGAAGGCCUUCGGGUUGUAAAGCCCUUUUGUUGGGAAAGAAAAGCAGCAGGUUAAUACCCCGCUGUUCUGACGGUACCCAAAGAAUAAGCACCGGCUAACUUCGUG
rnacentral:rRNA from 1 species